AACGAACGCUGGCGGCAGGCUUAACACAUGCAAGUCGAACGCCCCGCAAGGGGAGUGGCAGACGGGUGAGUAACGCGUGGGAAUCUACCCAUCUCUGCGGAAUAGCUCCGGGAAACUGGAAUUAAUACCGCAUACGCCCUACGGGGGAAAGAUUUAUCGGGGAUGGAUGAGCCCGCGUGGGAUUAGCUAGUUGGUGGGGUAAAGGCCUACCAAGGCGACGAUCCAUAGCUGGUCUGAGAGGAUGAUCAGCCACAUUGGGACUGAGACACGGCCCAAACUCCUACGGGAGGCAGCAGUGGGGAAUAUUGGACAAUGGGGGCAAGCCCGAUCCAGCCAUGCCGCGUGAGUGAUGAAGGCCUUAGGGUUGUAAAGCUCUUUCACCGGUGAAGAUAAUGACGGUAACCGGAAAAGAAGCCCCGGCUAACUUCGUGCCAGCCGCCGCCGUAA
rnacentral:rRNA from 1 species